AUUGAACGCUGGCGGCAGGCCUAACACAUGCAAGUCGAGCGGAUGAAGGGAGCUUGCUCCUGGUUUCAGCGGCGGACGGGUGAGUAAUGCCUAGGAAUCUGGCUGGCAGUGGGGGAUAACGUCCGGAAACGGGCGCUAAUACCGCAUACGUCCUGAGGGAGAAAGUGGGGGAUCUUCGGACCUCACGCUAUCAGGUGAGCCUAGGUCGGAUUAGCUAGUUGGUGGGGUAAAGGCCUACCAAGGCGACGAUCCGUAACUGGUCUGAGAGGAUGAUCAGUCACACUGGAACUGAGACACGGUCCAGACUCCUACGGGAGGCAGCAGUGGGGAAUAUUGGACAAUGGGCGCAAGCCUGAUCCAGCCAUGCCGCGUGUGUGAAGAAGGUCUUCGGAUUGUAAAGCACUUUAAGUUGGGAGGAAGGGCAGUAAGUUAAUACCUUGCUGUUUUGACGUUACCAACAGAAUAAGCACCGGCUAACUUCGUG
rnacentral:rRNA from 1 species